CACAUCUCUGCCAAGAUAAUACCAAAAAUAACUACGAUCCCACGUUUAGCAUACCACCGAGAACCCCUGCACCUGUCUCUUAUACACAUCUCUGCCAAGAUAAUACCAAAAAUAACUACAAACCCACCAUUUAGCAUACCACCGAGAACCCCUGCACAAAUCGUCCCAAAAACAUCACAGAGUACUGAAAAAAUAGUUCCAUUUCCCCCAGAAUCCACUCGACAGCAAGCACGACCACUUACAUUCAAACGCCGAAAUAAUAUUGGUUCAUUUCAAAGUUCACCGAAUCAACAAACAGAAGCUGCUGACUUUGGGAGUGGACCCAAGAAAGUUGAAUAUCUUGGAAAAGCCAAUGAAUCAAUGAAUACAAUCAGAACAAGACCAUCAGCCAAAGAUGCUCCAUUGCAACCACCUCUUCAAACAACUGAAAUGAACAACAUUCAGCCAAUGAGCCAAUCAGAAGAGAAUGCUUUACCAGUAGUUCCAUCCCAAUCAAUCGCUGUUCCUGCUCUUCUGAAUGGAGAGCUAGUUACAAGUUCAUUGUCACCUUCAAAAGUAAAGCUGCCAUACCUUGAUGGUCAAGAAGAGAUGGUUUCACAAGAUUCAUUUUCAAGUGAUUUAAGUAAUGCAGAAGAAGCAUCAUCAACCAAAUAUUUGCUGUCUCAGAUCAAUAACCAGAAGGGAGGCAAAGACAAUCAGAGCAAUACUCCUGCAGGCAACAUACACAUUAUUGAACAGCACAACAUCAGAGGCAGUUCCAUUAUCCAGAUAAUCAAUGAGAAUUGUGGAGGUUUUGUGUCGAAGUCUCUCGAUGAAUUUCUGAACUGCUUGAAAGCCACAAAGCUCAAUGAUACACCAAAUUUUAAGGAUUUUGCAGCCAACCUGCAUCACAAAGUACAAAAAUCAAGACCCAAUACACCUGCGGUUCCUCCUGCAUUGAUGAAAACACCAACACGUCAAGGACGCUUUCUCACCAAGAGGAAUGUGGAACACGUAAGGAACAAGAGGUCAGCGACAACUUACAACCGAGAAUUUCACCGAAAGCUCCUUUUCAUGGUGCCAGGCUGCAUUACCUUUGGAAUACUUUCUCUACUCUGCUUGAUUCAUCUCCUUGUGUACCACAACAAAGGACAAGACAAAUGCAACAACAACAGGUUCAUAAGCAGGCAACCGGUGUAUGGUGGCUGCAGUCCACAAGCCAAUGGUGGGUCAAAGAACACAGCCCAUACCACCACGUGAUGUCAUGCUGAAGUUACAGUUGUCAUGGUAAUUUCAAAGGACGUUGUGAACAAUUCUCCUUCUGUGCAGUGAAUUCAGUCAAAUGAUAUCAAGGAUGGAUGUGAAUAUCUGGCAUGCUGACAACAAUGAGCCAAAUUGAGCACAUAGCAGUAUAUAUAUAUAUAUAUAUAUAUAUAUAUAUAUAUAUAUAUAUAGGGGGGGGGGUAUAUAUAUAUAUAUAUAUAUAUAUAUAUAUAUAUAUAUAUAUACCACAUCUUGUGAUAUUGAGUGUCUUGAAGCCAUCAUUAUCCCUGAAUGAUUUAUGGAUUGAGUCACAAAAUUCAUACACCGCAAAAACGACUAUUUCUAAAAUGUGGAGACUUCAUUUACCGCUGUACGAGUUACACAGUUAAUGAAGCACAAGAAAAGGCCUUGUGUUGGUGGUAGUGAUGGAUUGUGGGUAAAGGUGAGGGGGGGAGGGCAAUAAAUGAUGAAGCAAAAUAAUGAAAUAAUCCUUACAAUCUCACUUUCAUCAAUUACAAGUCCCCCUCAUGCUGCCCCUUAAUGGGACCAUGCAUUUCAACCUGAUUUUAUCCACAUUAUCCUUCCCCAUUAGUUUGUGGGAGUCACCCCUCAAUUUUUUGUCCUUUGUAUUGCAAACUAGGUGGUCUUGCACUGUCUGUUUCUAUUCCAUCUCUUGUCUCCAAAUAGUGGUCAUUCUCUGAUAUAUCUAGUCAGUGGCAUCAGCACACACACAAUGGAAUAUCCACACAUUACAUGAUAUGCAGAAAUUCAAGGAGUAAUUGGGUAUGUUUGGAGGUUUGAGAAUAUCAAACAUACCAAAAAUACAAAACAGAAUGGAUGCUAUCAUAACUUACUGUCCCCAGAAAGGACAUCUACUGUAAUUUAUUGUUGCAUGUACUUGUAAAUAAAACUUUCAGAAC
ensembl:lincRNA